rnacentral:rRNA from 1 species
GAUGAACGCUGGCGGCGUGCCUAACACAUGCAAGUCGAGCGGAAAUAUUCAGAAGUAUACGUACGGAUGGAUAUUUUAGCGGCGGACGGGUGAGUAACACGUGAGCAACCUACCUUUUGCUGGGGAAUAACAUCGGGAAACCGAUGCUAAUACCGCAUGACAUUCCGAUGGGGCAUCCUGUUGGAAUCAAAGGAGAGAUCCGGCAAGAGAUGGGCUCGCGUCCGAUUAGCUGGUUGGUGAGGUAACGGCUCACCAAGGCGACGAUCGGUAGCCGGACUGAGAGGUUGGACGGCCACAUUGGGACUGAGACACGGCCCAGACUCCUACGGGAGGCAGCAGUGAGGAAUAUUGGUCAAUGGACGAGAGUCUGAACCAGCCAAGUCGCGUGAAGGAAGACGGCCCUACGGGUUGUAAACUUCUUUUGUAAGGGAAUAAAUAGUCUUACGCGCUAAGACGUUGCAGGUACCUUACGAAUAAGGAUCGGCUAACUCCGUGCCAGCAGCCG